rnacentral:rRNA from 1 species
CAAUAGCGUAUAUUUAAGUUGCUGCAGUUAAAAAGCUCGUAGUUGGAUUUCGGGUGGGAAUGGCCGGUCCGCCGUUUCGGUGUGCACUUGCUACGCCCACCUUGCUGCCGGGGACGUGCUCUUGAGUUCACGCUCGGCACACGGAGUCGGCGAGGUUACUUUGAGUAAAUUAGAGUGUUCAAAGCAGGCCUACGCUCUGAAUACAUUAGCAUGGAAUAACACGAUAGGACUCUGGCCUAUCUUGUUGGUCUGUAGGACCGGAGUAAUGAUUAAGAGGGACAGUCGGGGGCAUUCGUAUUUCAUUGUCAGAGGUGAAAUUCUUGGAUUUAUGAAAGACGAACUACUGCGAAAGCAUUUGCCAAGGAUGUUUUCAUUAA